rnacentral:lncRNA from 1 species
UGAGGUACGAAUUGUUAGGGUUGCGAGUUUACAUUCCAACAUGUUUCGACUGUGGAGUUGUUAUGGGACUUCUGUAUCUUCUGCCUUCCGCUGCAAGAUUUUAUUUUCUUUUGAGAUAACCCAUGAGGUUAUGCAAUAUGUAAGUUACUACUAAAUUCUGGAUCAAUGCGAUGUAAUAUACUUUUGACCUUUGUAUCUUGAUAUUACAUCGUGAAACUGUGUGUGCUAGCGAGUCGAUCCAGGGACUAGCACAGUAAGCACAGAGAUCGAACCCUUGGUGAAGGGGGAUCGCUUCAAUUUUUUAAUGUUAGAAUGCAUUUUUUUACUUGUAAUGAUUUUUUUUACUCAAUGGUUUGGUGCUACUUGUAGAUUGGCACAGUGAGAGUGACUGCGUCAAUCUCAUCACAACGUUGUCGACGAUUGAUGCUUUCAAGCCAUACUAGUGGAGAAUGGUAGAUUCUUCAUUUUAAUGGGUUAAUGUAUUCUUCGAUUGAUCUAUGAACCUAAUUAAGCUACUGUUGUGAUCAUGUAGAGUUUUGGGAACCUAAUUUAACUCCUGUGAUGAU